UUCCGGUUGAUCCUGCCGGAGGCCAUUGCUAUUGGGAUCCGAUUUAGCCAUGCUAGUCGUACGGAGUUCAUACUCGUGGCGAAUAGCUCAGUAACACGUGGCCAAACUACCCUUCGGAGCACAAUACCCUCGGGAAACUGAGGUCAAUAGUGCAUAUCAUACCACCACUGGAAUGAGUGGUAUGCCAAACGCUCCGGCGCCGAAGGAUGUGGCUGCGGCCGAUUAGGUAGACGGUGGGGUAACGGCCCACCGUGCCAAUAAUCGGUACGGGUCAUGAGAGUGAGAACCCGGAGACGGAAUCUGAGACAAGAUUCCGGGCCCUACGGGGCGCAGCAGGCGCGAAACCUUUACACUGCACGACAGUGCGAUAGGGGGAUCCCAAGUGCACAGGCAUAGUGCCUGUGCUUUUCGGUACCCUAAGGCGGUACCAGAAUAAGGGCUGGGCAAGACCGGUGCCAGCCGCCGCGGUAAUACCGGCAGCCCAAGUGAUGGCCGAUCUUAUUGGGCCUAAAGCGUCCGUAGCUGGCCGCGCAAGUCCAUCGGGAAAUCCACCUGCUCAACAGGUGGGCGCCCGGUAGAAACUGCGUGGCUUGGGACCGGAAGGCGCGACGGGUACGUCCGGGGUAGGAGUGAAAUCCCGUAAUCCUGGGCGGACCGCCGAUGGCGAAAGCACGUCGCGAGAACGGAUCCGACAGUGAGGGACGAAAGCCAGGGUCUCGAACCGGAUUAGAUACCCGGGUAGUCCUGGCCGUAAACAAUGCCUGCUAGGUGUGGCUCCCACUACGAGUGGGUGCUGUGCCGUAGGGAAGCCGCUAAGCAGGCCGCCUGGGAAGUACGUCCGCAAGGAUGAAACUUAAAGGAAUUGGCGGGGGAGCAC
rnacentral:rRNA from 1 species